UUUAUAUUCAUAUACCAAUCUUCAGUGUCUCACUCACAUGAUUAAUACAUGUAUAUUUUUAUAAAUGCUACUAUCCCAUUUAAACACAAAAGAUAGGAUUCACUCAAAAUGAUACUUCCCUAUGAACACAAAUAGGGAUACUACCUACUACCUCACACCUGCUGAGGUUUACAUCAUCAUAAAACCCUAUUACACAAAAAGGGGUACUAAUGCAUUUAUCUACAACUGGGACAUCACAUAAUCAUCACUGGUGGCCCUAUUGGGUCACCUGCAUAGGCUCCUGGGGAAACAAACCCUCCAUAACCCUAUGCCGAACGGAUCAGCUCGACUCCCCUAUCUCCUCGUGAGGCCUGACACUCACCCCCUUCUGGCUCUGGAAGGCUGCAUCAAGCGCUAGCCCUAAUGUCUCUAUCCUGGUAUCUUUUGCCAGCAGCUCACCCUCCAACUGGUCGACCCUCGUAACGGCAUUGUACCAAACUUCAUCCAUCCUAGUCCUCUCCACCCUUUCCAGCUCAAGAUCAGCAAUCAAAGCCUGCAGCUGCACCCUCAGCAUCCCAACUUGCAACUGGGACUCGUCCAACUUCCCUUUCUGCUCGACCACCUCCAUCUGGGCUUGAAAAGCUGCAUCCUUGUAUUGACUUCCGGUGAAUUGGAGGGUGUGGUUUUCAACCUCUAAUUCACCCACUCUGUCUUCUAGUUGACUGAUUCUCCUCAGCAAAUCCUCUACCGGAGGACCAUGAGGGAUAUCUCCGGUGACCUCAUGCUCAAUGGUCUCCUGAUCUACUGAGUGACUGCCCUAGCGCUCGUCAGACAUCCUACAAACACCAUAAAUAAAACCAACAUCAGUACCACAAUAAAAUAUAUUUAUUGAUAAAAUGAAAUAAUAUUUUAUUAAGUACAACACAAACUCGACGAAUUUCCACAAUCCAUCUCCUAACAUACUCUAUAAAGUUUUCUACUAAGGUUAUAACCUAGGUUUCGCAUUCCUAAUGUUUAUAACCUACAGCUUUGAUACCAACUUGUGACGCCCCCAAAUCCAGGUUCUCUAACCUCAGAUUCGGUGCUCACGAUCUAUCAUCAUCAUAAGCAUUCUAUAACUAUUACGAAAUAACAAACAUACAUUGUUCAUUAUAAUAAAGUCUCAUAACAUGGUCCCAAGGUCUUCAUAACCUUAACUUUAAACACACCAUUCAAUAUACAAAAAUUUUACUUAAAAAAUUCCAUCAGAUAAUAAUUAAAUUAACAUUCAUUCUAAACUACUCCUGGAUCUUGCCCUUGCCUUUGCCAUUCUCCUUCGUGUUAGAUCCUUUGGGCUUAACUGAAAUAGAUGUCAUGAUAUAGCAAGAAUAAGCAACUAAUUUGCUUCGCAAGUUUAUAUACAAGGGAGAUAUAUCAUGACUUAGAAAGAAAUAUUGCGUUCAAUGUUCAACAAUAGUAUAAGAUUGUGAAGGAACAUGAAUUAAUAAUCAACAAUUGAAUAUUCGAUAAUUAAAUUACAUGAACUGAGUGGUUUUGAAAUAACCAUGAACAUUUGCCAAGGUGCUCAGUUAUUUAAAUUGGACCUCUUAAUAAGUUUUGGUAUUCAAGGGGAUCAGCCUUUCAUACCUCGUGAUUUAUGCAUAAACACUUAAUAAUCCGGCAUUGAUAUCAUGCCUUAAUCAAAUUCGUCCUUUUCUCAGUCAAGAGUUCUUAUCAUAUCAAUUUAAUAAGAACAACUAUUUAAAAUACAUUUGAUUUAACAAAUUUAGACAUGCUUGAUCUAGCUGAUACAACUAGCAUAGAUCUAUCUCAUAAACAGUUCGUGAAUGAAAGAACUUUAAUUUAAUUCACAAUUCAAUAAUAGUAGAACAGGAAUUCAAUUGCACAAAGUGCGAAUUUCAAUAAUCAAAAUAGAUAUGAAUAAUCAUCAAUAAUUAUUCACUAACAUGCUUUGAAAAUAAUAACUCGAGUUUGAGUUAGGAAACUUUCCUCGUCGGUAGAUUACGGCUAUGCAAUUAAAUUAUAUCCACUAUGCAGUUAAAUUAUCUUCUUUUGAGAGACCUAUAGUUAAUCUUUCAAUUAGUCAUAGCAUAACAUUAGAGUAUGCAAUCAAAUAGAUAUUAUACAUUACAUUUAGUUUUUAUAAACAUUAUCCUGCCUAGAUAAUGUUACUAUUAAAUAACAACUUAAUAUUAUUAAUCUUGAUAAUAUUUAAUUCACCUCUUAGUAUUAUUAGUUCCCUAAUAAUACUUUCAUUCGCUUACUAAUAUUAUUAACAUCUUAAUAAUAUUUUAAUACCUUACUAAUAUUAUUAAUCAUCUUAAUAAUAUUUUAAUCAUGCAUUAAUAUUAUUACCUUAAUAAUAUCUUACUUAUGCUUUAGUAACAUUAAUAAAUUAAUAAUACUUUUAAUUAUUUAUUAAUAUUUUAUUCAUUUACUAAUAUUAUUAAUCAUUUAAUAAUAUUUUAUUCAUUUACUAAUAUUAUUAAUCAUUUAAUAAUACUUUAUGCAUUUAUUAAUGCUUAAAUUAAAUAUUAUUAAUCAUUUAAUAGUAUUUUAUAGAAAUUUUAAUCUUAAUAUUUUUAUUUACUUAACAAUAUCAUAUUCUAAUAUUAUUAAUAUCAUAAUAAUAUUUUAAUAAAGUUUUAAUCUUAAUAUUUUUAUUUACUUAACAAUAUCAUAUUCUAAUAUUAUUAAUAUCAUAAUAAUAUUUUAAUAAUUUAAUGGAUUAAUAAACAAUUUAUUCUAAUUGUUCACCAUUUAUUAAACCUAUUAUUUAAUAUCCAUAAAAGGUCAUAAAUGAUAUUUCUUAUCAUAAAUUACCAAAAUUCCCUAAGAUAGUCAUGAUGUAACAUAUUAUGAGUAUUCAAGCAUAAAAAUCACAUUUUUAUUAUUAAAGACAUCAUUUAGCUAUUUAUUUCCUUUUAUUCAUAACUUAAUCAUUUUUUGGAAAAAUAGCAAACUGACUCCAAAAAAUCUCAACUUCUGGAUUUUGGCAAAAUAUGAACCAACAAUGAUCCCCUAAUUUUUUUGGAAUUUUAGAAAAUGAUUUACUAUUUUUAAAGUGCCCAAACACUCGGAUCUUGCUCUAUUUUUCAUAAAUUGAGUUUUGCUCAGAAAAAUAUGAAAUUUUCAGUGUAUGCUCUCCUAACAUACAUGAACCUACUGUAAAAAUUUCUGAAUUUUUUAGUGUAUACACAAUGAGAUAUUCGAAGGUUAAUAUUUUGGAGUAACUAUUUUAGGAUUUUGAACCCUUAACAAUCAAAGUGGACUGUUUUGGGGAAAACAGUCCCAAAGCUUUCAAAACUUACUAGAUUUGUGUUCUAUCACUUGGGUUUACUAGGUAACUCAUGUAUCUAGCACCCCCUUUUGAUGGAUCACAAAUCCAAGUUGGAAAACUUGAGUUACACAAGAUUUAGUGGAAGAAAAAUAAGAGUUUUCACCCUUGGAGAACAUAUGCUCAUAUUCUUUCUCUAAGCCUUUGAUCUAACACUCAAGAUACUUAGUUCUAUACGUGAUGAUAUGUAGAACUAGGGUAUUUUGAGUAUUUGCUCAUAACCCCAACAAAACUCAAGCUAUAAAACAAAGUAGAAGAAGAAGAUGAAAGUUAGGUUAUACCUUGAUUUAUUGGCUACCUUCCUUGAUUUACCAAAGUAGUAUCUAAACUUAGGAUGCAUGAACAAACUAGCACUCCUCUCUCUCUCUCUAUGGCCGAACCUCUCUCUUUUCUCUCUCUUGAAGUUGCUAGCUUGGGAGAAAAAGUUAAAAGAAGAAGAAUGAGAGAAAGUGGAGUAUUCUAGCAAAUGAGAAGAUUGAUUCCUUAUUAUCCCCCAUACUUUCCUUGACCCAUGGAUAAAAGCUUUGCCUUAUCACUUCAAUUAGUCUAAUCAUGAUUAAGGGUGCUUAAAAGAGUGGCAACCAAUGGGAGCUUGACAAACAUGUCCUUGUGUGUAAGAGUUACUACUAAUGGACAUUGAUUAGCUUAAACAUCUUGCCAUAAAAAGCCUAAUUGGCCAGUCCCUUUACCCCCAUUUUAUCUCCCAAUUUGCUUUUAUUUUAAUGCACAAAUUUGAUUAAUCAAAAGUCUAAAAUACCCUUAAUCAAGUGGGCUAAGUAUUGGUUUGCAUGUUAUUUCAUUUGGGCUCCCUCCUUAAUUGUUUUGGGCUAUGUAAUAAACAUAGUCUAGCAAUUUUAAUAUAUGUUACCUAAUUUGAUUAUUUAGGGUUUCCAUUCCUAAUAUUAUGAAAUUUAAUUGCCUACACAUGUGACUUUAGCUCAUAACCUAAUUAGAUUUACAAGAAUUAGGUUUAAAAUUAUUAGUCACUUGAAAUAAUAAGUUUACCCACUUAAGUUAGUAUACAUAUUAAAUACUAACUUUUCCUUAUUACCAUAACCCUUAGGUUAUUUAAUUGUCUCACCUAAUGUAUAAUUAGGUUACGAAGCUUUCAUUUUUAAUGAAAUCUAUAAAUGUAUAUAUCCAUAACUAUAGCAUAUAUGUUAAUUGACUCAUGCACCACUUCACAUAGGUUGUCACAUAUUAAAUCACUGUAUAACACAAAAUUUUAAAUAUCAAUAAUGUACAUACAUAUAUAGUGACUUAAAAUUCACGGUUAUUACAAUUGAUUCCAUUGGAGUGUUAUAGUUCAAAGUCUAUUUGACUAGCAGUUAUUCUAAAAGCAAUCGUUAUCUUUGGUUGCGAUAUUCAUAUUGUUGAAUCCUUCAGAUAUUCAUAUUGUUGAAUUCAUUAUCAGUUAUUUUUCCAUUCAUCAUGAUAUAUCCUUAUUGUUGUAUUUAAAUUUGUUGAGCAAACUUGUUGCUUAUCCUUGCUAUAUCAUGAAUAUAUUGCAGCUAAGCCCGAGACCUCAGGGAAGGACAAGGGUAAAGGAGAGAUGUAGAAUAGUGGCAAGAAGCAGGCUUUACCUUGCGCUUAGUUUAAAUUAUUGUUAUGUAAUAUGAAACCUAAUGAUUAUUUUAGGGUAUAUUUGUAAGAUGAUAUUAAGAUUAUCGUACCUUGGGACUAGUAACACCUUUUGAAUGAAUGACGUACGUUUAUUAUAUUUCGCAUUUUAGUUAUCGUAUAUUGUUUAAAGGUGGAUGUUUGUAUUUUAUCGUGAUGACCGAACCGGGGUCAGAGGACAAGGAUUCGGGGGCGUCACACCAGAAACUUAUUAGAAGAUAUGCAUGAUUCAUCAUUGAUCAUACCAUGUCCAACAAGGUACGAUUCCUCCUCUCAGACACACCAUUCCAUUGUGGUGUUCCAGGUGGAGUGAGUUGUGAUAUAAUAUCACACUCCAAUGUCAUCAAAGUCUUGGCUUACGUAUUCACCUCCUCGAUAUAAAUUUAAUGAAAUAAAAAAACCCACCUCUUGUUAACGAACUUAUGGGUCCACAUAUAUCACUAUGUAUAAGUCCCAAUACAUUGCUAGCCCGUUCACUGUGUCCAGUGAAAGGGACUUUAGUCAUCUUGUCUAAUAAACAAGACUCGCAUUUCUCAUAUGAUUCAAAAUCAAAUGAAUCCAAAAACCCAUCUUUAUGGAGUUUGGAUAUGUGUUUCUCAUUUAUAUGGCCUAAACAACAGUGCCAGAGAUAUGUCGGAUUUGAAUCAUUUAAAUCAUUUUGUAUUUAUGUCAUAGAUAAACAUUUCUAAAUCAAGAAUAUAAAGACCAUUAAAUAGUUGUGCAACACCAUAACAUAUUUUAUUUAAGUAAAACGAACAACUGUUGUUCUUUAUUAAAAAUAAAAAACCUUUCUUCUCCAAACAAGAAACAGAAAUAAUAUUAUUGCUCAUAGCAGACACAUAAUAAAAAUCCUCUAAUUCUAAUACUAGCCCAGUGGGCAAAGAUAAAUGAUAAGUUCCUACAACUAGUGCAACAACUUUUGCUUCAUUCCCAACUCGUAGGUCAACCUCUCCUUUCGCCAAAGUCCUCCUUCGAAGUUCCUGCACAUUAACACAAAUGUGAGAAUCACAUCCAGUAUCCAAUACCCAUGAUGUAGAAGUGGACAAAUUGACUUCUAUAACAUUUAUACCUGAAUCAUAAGUCACACUUCCUUUUUUUUCUUCAGUUCUUCCAAAUAAGCAUGACAAUUCCUCUUUCAGUGUCCAGAUUUUUCAUAGAAGUGACAAUCACCUUCUUUAGCCACGUCGCCUUUAGGUUUUAAAGCCUGUUUGAUUUUGGAAUUGGGUUUGGCACCAGAUUUAGAUCCUAUUUUCUUCUUCCCUUUCCCCUUUCCCCUUUCCCCUUUCCCCUUUCCCUUAACAUUCCCCUUUUGCACCAUCAUUAUGGGAGUAGGUCCUACCUUUUUCAUGUUGUUCUCGACAGUUCUCAACAAGCUCAACAACUCAGCAAGUAGUUUCUCAAUUUCAUUCAUGAGGUAAUUCAUAACAAAUUGAGAGUAACUAUUGUUCAAAGAUUGCAAAACAAGAUCAGUUUGAGCUUCCGGAGUAAUCGAAAAACCCAACCUAUCAAGGUACUCAAUAUACCCAAUCAUUUUUAGUACACGUGGACCAACUGGAUCACGUUCACCUAUCUUGCAGUGAUACAAUGCUUUGCUUGUAUCAUACCUUUCCUGUCGAGCAUGCCCUUCGAACAAUUUCUUGAGAUGCUCGAUCAUCUCAUAAGCAUCCAUCUCAUAAGCAUCCAUUAACUCAUGUUGCUUCUGAAGUUCAGAGUUCAUAGUUGCUAGCAUGAGACAACUCACGUCCGGAGCAACAUCUUGAUGCUUCUUGUAAGCAUUAUGCUCUACACGUGGUGCAGUGUUAGCUGGUGCUGUAGGAAUAGGCCCAUCAAGGACAUAUCUUACGCUCUUGUUUGAGGACAAUCCUCCAGUUUAAGAAAUUAAUUCCACUCAGUUUUUUCUUCUCAAGGACUGAUCGUAGUGAAAGAUUAUUUGUGUUGUUAUUUGCCAUUGAUAUCUACAAUUUAUAAGUGCAAAAAUAAUAAGUCAAAUUACAGAGUUUUUGAUAUUAUGUAAUUGAUAAUAGUAAAUUCAAAAUAUAACUAUGACACAUUUUAUUUUGCACUUUAUUUAUGCUUGUAUACAAUAUGAUAAAUAAUAUGCAUUGUGAUAAUUAGGUUAUGAAGCUUUCCUUUUUUUAAUGAAAUCUAUAAAUAUGUAUAUCCAUAACUGUAGUAUAUAUAUAUUUAUUUAGUCAUUCACCACUUUACAUAUGUUAUCACAUAUUAACUCACUAUAUAGCACAAAAUUUUAAAUAUCAAUAAAGUAUAUACAUAUAAAGUGAUUUAAAAUUCCUAAUUAUUACAUGGAUAGCCGACCCUUGUCAUGCUUUAUUUCAUGCAUUAUCACCAAAACAAUUUUUCAAAUCAACAUAAUAAAGAUCUUAUAAAAUACAAAAUCACUUCAGAAAUAGACAAAUUUAAGGUUAAAAAUCAAAUGGCAAAAUAGGGUCUGAACACCGAGUUCUCCAAAUCCUCUCAAGAAGCGUUUUAAUCAAAAUAAAAUUAAAAAUUAAAGUUACGGCUCAAUUAUUAUAAUCAAACCUUUUCAAAUUUGUCGGCGUGUUUGUUAGUCUUUUUUCCUAAAAUCUCACCCUUAAAGAUAAAUUAAUCGAUAUAUCAAAAUAAAAAAAAGGUAUAAACGACACAGGAAACAUUAAUUCCCCCGACGUCAACAUAAAUUCAACUCAAUUCUCAAAUCAAAAUUCAAAAAGUAUUAUCAAUUCAAAAUCAUCUUAAUUUUAAUCUUCAAAUUAAAAAUUCAUCUUCAUUUUCAAUUUCAAAUUUAACUCCAUAACUCAAAUAAAAGCUUUAAAACCCAUAAAUUCAGAAUCCUAAAACUUCAAAUACAAAUUUAGGUUUUCAAUUCAAAUGCAAUUUAAAAAUCUUUAAAUCUUUAAUAUAAAUAUAUAAUUGUUCUAAACAAAUUUUAAUAAAAAUUCUCAAAAAUAUCCAUCAAAACAAUUUAAAAUUUACAGACACGUAGAAUUUUAUUCUUGUUCUUUCAAUGUAAUAUCAUUUUCUUUUCCAAGUGUAAAAAUAAUCAAGAAAUAGUGGAAUGAGAAACAUAUUUAUGGAAUAACACAAAUCACACUUAUGAGAUGACACAGAACACAAUCACUAAUAAAAUGACACAAGCAUGUGACUCACUUUCUAAGACAACCUUUUUAAGUAAAAUAAAAAAUUUAAGAAAUCGCGAAAAUUGUGUUUCUCAAAAGUCCAAGUGCCUGGCUCCUUCAUCCUGCUUAUUAGACAAACACCCAAACUUUUAAAUCUCAAUUAGUAGACCAACUUAAUUGAGUUACAAUUAAUCGGGUUGCUACAUUCAAUUAAAACACUACCAGUUAGCAACAUUGAAAAUUUGACCUAUUAAUUGAAAAAAAUUCAAAACCCCCAUGGAAUCCGUUUUUAAUUGAAAACUUGAAAUUUUUUGACAUAAUCAAAUUCGUUUCUAAUCCUAAUUUUAUAAUAAAAUUCUAUUUUAUUAAUUGAAAACCUAAAACUUUUUGACAUAAUCUCAAAAUCAAACUCCAAACUAGUUGACGGCCAAAAAAUCCAAUUUCUUUCAACCUUUGGUUAUUUUUAGCCCAUUUUUUAUAGUUGAAUUCCAUGUUAUUUCAAUUUUUGCCAACAUCGUAAUCCUUCCAUUCACACUCACCUAUCUGCCAAACAUUGCAAGUAAUUCACUUAUAAGUGAAAGAUUAUCCCGAACAAACACUUUGGAAGAGUUUAUCCAGCUCACAAAAUGUGUAUACAUGGAAAGAAACAAACACGGGUAGACACUUUGCAUAAACAAAACAAUAUAUUAUGAGUACGAUGUUCUUGAUAAGUAAGAUUCUCUAGCAAAAAAUUUAGUGGCCUAGCAGGUCAAAACAGGAAAUUAAAAAAUACCUUAAAAAAAUACAAACUCACCUUUGACCAUCUCUAGCAAGAACCACCAAAUUAUUUAAACAGAAAAAUCAGGGUCGAACAAUCCCGUAAAGCGAACCAUUCUAUAGAGCUCUGCAACGCAGAUAUAAUUUCUCUAACACAAAUAUAAUGAAGUAAUAAUAUUAAAACUAAAUAAAACUAGGAGAUCUGAUUAGAGGAUCAUCAAUAUACCUUUAGGCGGGCAGGCAGGAGGCAUAAAUAAAAUGUAUAAUAAAGUUGCAUCAUCUUUUCUCCUCUUCUUAGCCACUCAAAAAGAGGACAGAAAUGUGUAGAUUGUAGAGAGAUGUAUGGGGGCGGCGGUGAGGGAAGAGGGGAGGGGGAACCCUAAUCUAUAUAAUUAAAAUGAUAGCAAUGAAAAUAACCGUUUUUAUUGUAAAGUGAUUGAUUCCCUCAAUUAUGAGGGAAC
rnacentral:lncRNA from 1 species